UUUCAGGUUUGGUUUGAAUUUCAAAUCUCCUUUACUUUAUCUCUAACGGCUAUAUUUGCUUUUUGGGCUAUAAAAGGGAGCUCUUAAGUGGUUCUCUACAACUCUUCACCAACCCAAAGCAAAAUCAUUCAAGAGAGAAGAAAGAAAAAGAGGUUCAAGGGAGUUAGUGCAUUCAAGUGAAGAAAUCAAGUGCUUUGAAGCUUCCCAAGUGAUUUCAAGCUCAACUACUCUCUUCCGCUCGUGCAUUCAAAGCUCACACUCAAACCUACGCGAUCCACAUCGGAAGAAUCACCAUUUCCCACGCUUCCAACGGCAAAAGGAUUCUUCCGGGUUCUAUUAUUUAUCAUUGUCAUAUUUGCUUAUUUAGAGCUUUCCAAUUGUUUGUAAAACUCUUUUAACAUUGUGCUUGUUCCAGUCAAGGGACUUGGAACAAGGGAAAGGCGUCCCAAGCCUAGGUUAAAUUGGGGGUUUUAGGGUUUGUUGUGAGCCCGGUGUAAAACAACGAGUUGGGUAGUGAACUCGCAAAACUAUCGUACUGUAAUCGUGGAUUAUAGUGAAAAUUCCCAAAGGUGCUUUGGGGAGUGGAUGUAGGAGCAGUGGAGGCUCCGAACCACUAUAAAAGCCUGUGUUUGCGAUUGGUUGUCUUCAUAGCUUUAUUCUUGCUUUAGCUCUUAUAUUUGUGUUUUACUUUUAAAUAGUCAAAAAGUUUUUAAAACACCCAAUUCACCCCCCUCUUGGGUGACCAUCUCUGGGCAACA
rnacentral:lncRNA from 1 species